rnacentral:rRNA from 6 species
GGGUGAGUAACACGUGGGUAACCUGCCUCAUAGAGGGGAAUAGCCUCCCGAAAGGGAGAUUAAUACCGCAUAAUGUAUGAGAAUCGCAUGAUUUUUGUACCAAAGGAGCUAAUCCGCUAUGAGAUGGACCCGCGGCGCAUUAGCUAGUUGGUGAGGUAAAGGCUCACCAAGGCGACGAUGCGUAGCCGACCUGAGAGGGUGAUCGGCCACAUUGGAACUGAGACACGGUCCAGACUCCUACGGGAGGCAGCAGUGGGGAAUAUUGCGCAAUGGGGGAAACCCUGACGCAGCAACGCCGCGUGAAUGAAGAAGGCCUUAGGG